rnacentral:rRNA from 1 species
AAUAGAUACCCUGGUAGUCCACGCAGUAAACGAUGAUUACUGGCUGUUUGCGAUACAAUGUAAGCGGCUGAGCGAAAGCGUUAAGUAAUCCACCUGGGGAGUACGUUCGCAAGAAUGAAACUCAAAGGAAUUGACGGGGGCCCGCACAAGCGGAGGAACAUGUGGUUUAAUUCGAUGAUACGCGAGGAACCUUACCCGGGCUUGAAAUGCGGUGGACCGGCGGAGAGAUCCGCCCUCCCUUCGGGGCCACCGUGUAGGUGCUGCAUGGUUGUCGUCAGCUCGUGCCGUGAGGUGUCGGCUUAAGUGCCAUAACGAGCGCAACCCUCAUCAUUAGUUACUAACAGGUAAAGCUGAGGACUCUAGUGAGACUGCCAUCGUAAGAUGCGAGGAAGGUGGGGAUGACGUCAAAUCAGCACGGCCCUUACGUCCGGGGCGACACACGUGUUACAAUGGGUGGUACAAAGGGCAGCUACCUGGCGACAGGAUGCCAAUCCCCAAAACCACUCUCAGUUCGGAUCGGAGU